GAUGAACGCUAGCUACAGGCUUAACACAUGCAAGUCGAGGGGCAGCGGGAUUGAAGCUUGCUUCAAUUGCCGGCGACCGGCGCACGGGUGAGUAACGCGUAUCCAACCUUCCGUACACUCAGGGAUAGCCUUUCGAAAGAAAGAUUAAUACCUGAUGGUAUGAUGAGAUUGCAUGAUAGCAUCAUUAAAGAUUUAUCGGUGUACGAUGGGGAUGCGUUCCAUUAGGUAGUAGGCGGGGUAACGGCCCACCUAGCCAACGAUGGAUAGGGGUUCUGAGAGGAAGGUCCCCCACAUUGGAACUGAGACACGGUCCAAACUCCUACGGGAGGCAGCAGUGAGGAAUAUUGGUCAAUGGACGAGAGUCUGAACCAGCCAAGUAGCGUGAAGGAUGAAGGUCCUACGGAUUGUAAACUUCUUUUAUAAGGGAAUAAACCCUCCCACGUGUGGGAGCUUGUAUGUACCUUAUGAAUAAGCAUCGGCUAACUCCGUGCCAGCAGCCGCGGUAAUACGGAGGAUGCGAGCGUUAUCCGGAUUUAUUGGGUUUAAAGGGAGCGCAGACGGGUCGUUAAGUCAGCUGUGAAAGUUUGGGGCUCAACCUUAAAAUUGCAGUUGAUACUGGCGUCCUUGAGUGCGGUUGA
rnacentral:rRNA from 1 species